rnacentral:misc_RNA from 1 species
GUUUGUUUAAAUUUUUUAUUUGAGGAUUUUUCUCACUUUUUUUAUUUUAUUUUAUUCUUUUAUAUUAUGGAUUUCUCAAGAACUCUUAUCCUCAAAAUCCUAUAUCUUCAUUUUAUGCUAGUCAAACUGUUUCUUCUUUGUCAUUACUGAAAGCCCUGAAUGUCAACUACUCAACUCUUUUCCCCUACAAUUCAAUUAAAUAUCAUCUUAUACCUCCACAGCCUUUUUUUAGACAUUUUUCAAGUAUGAAAGGAAAGAGAUG